UACGUAGGGUGCAAGCGUUAAUCGGAAUUACUGGGCGUAAAGCGUGCGCAGGCGGUUGUGCAAGACCGAUGUGAAAUCCCCGGGCUUAACCUGGGAAUGGCAUUGGUGACUGCACGGCUAGAGUGUGUCAGAGGGGGUAGAAUUCCACGUGUGAGCAGUGAAAUGCGUAGAGAUGUGGAGGAAUACCGAGUGGCGAAGGCAGCCCCCUGGGUCAAGAUUGACGCUCAUGCACGAAAGCGUGGGGAGCAAACAGG
rnacentral:rRNA from 1 species